UUAGAGGGGUUCGAAGGGAUAAUUAGGGGGUCCUAGCGGCUAUUCCCUCGAGUUGCGGUAUUUGCGUAAGUUGCGCUAUUUGCGUAAUUUGCGGCAUUUGCGUAAUUUUUUUUUCGGUUUCCUAGGGCUAAUUAGGGGGUUCCAACGGGCAAUUAGAGGGCUCCUAGGUGUAAUUAAUGGCUUCCAGCUGUGAGUAGGCGUUUCUACAGGCAAUUAGAGGGGUUCGAAGGGAUAAUAAGGGGGUCCUAGCGGCUAUUCCCUCGAGUUGCGGUAUUUGCGCAAGUUGCGCUAUUUGCGUAAUUUUUUUUUUCGGUUUCCUAGGGCUAAUUAGGGGGUUCCAACGGGCAAUUAGAGGGCUCCUGGGUGUAAUUAAUGGCUUCCAGCUGUGAGUAGGCGUUUCUAGAGGCAAUUAGAGGGGUUCGAAGGGAUAAUUAAGGGGUCCUAGCGGCUAUUCCCUCGAGUUGCGGUAUUUGCGCUAUUUGCGCUAUUUGCGUAAUUUGCGGCAUUUGCGUAAUUUUUUUUUUUCGGUUUCCUAGGGCUAAUUAGGGGCUUCCAACGGGCAAUUAGAGGGC